AAAUUGGAAACAACCGUUCAUAAUUGUGUUCGUGAGCCCAGAUCAAUAAAUCAACACCUACAGUACACAUGACGAAAUAAUUCAAAAAGUUCAAACGUGCAGCGUUUUCAUAAAAAAUGAAGACCUGUUCCACAACAUACAUCAUUAUGUUAUGAAGAUUCUUAUAUCACGUGCUUGUGGAGAUGGAAUCAAUGCCUGACAAUACAAUGUAUCUGAAGCCUCUUGCCUCGUAAAAUAUCUGUAAUAUGGUAAUAUGAAAGGCGAUGCUGCCUUAAAAUUACAACGCUAGAAACCAGUAAAAA